CCUACGGGUGGCAGCAGUGGGGAAUAUUGGACAAUGGGGGCAACCCUGAUCCAGCCAUGCCGCGUGUGUGAAGAAGGCCCUCGGGUUGUAAAGCACUUUCAGUGAGGAAGAACGCCUGGUGGUUAAUACCCAUCAGGAAAGACAUCACUCACAGAAGAAGCACCGGCUAACUCCGUGCCAGCAGCCGCGGUAAUACGGAGGGUGCGAGCGUUAAUCGGAAUUACUGGGCGUAAAGCGCGCGUAGGUGGCUUGAUAAGCCGGUUGUGAAAGCCCCGGGCUCAACCUGGGAACGGCAUCCGGAACUGUCAAGCUAGAGUGCAGGAGAGGAAGGUAGAAUUCCCGGUGUAGCGGUGAAAUGCGUAGAGAUCGGGAGGAAUACCUGUGGCGAAGGCGGCCUUCUGGACUGACACUGACACUGAGGUGCGAAAGCGUGGGUAGCAAACAGGAUUAGAUACCCCUGUAGUC
rnacentral:rRNA from 1 species